rnacentral:rRNA from 1 species
UUGACGGGACCGCACAAGCGGUGGAUGAUGUGGAUUAAUUCGAUGCAACGCGAAAACCUUACCUACCCUUGACAUGUCCGGAAUCCCGAAGAGAUUUGGGAGUGCUCGCAAGAGAACCGGAACACAGGUGCUGCAUGGCUGUCAUCAGCUCGUGUCGUGAGAUGUUGGGUUAAGUCCCGCAACGAGCGCAACCCUUGCCAUUAGUUGCUACGAAAGGGCACUCUAAUGGGACUGCCGGUGACAAACCGGAGGAAGGUGGGGAUGACGUCAAGUCCUCAUGGCCCUUAUAGGUGGGGCUACACACGUCAUACAAUGGCCGGUACAGAGGGUAGCCAACCCGCGAGGGGGAGCCAAUCCCACAAAGCCGGUCGUAGUCCGGAUCGCAGUCUGCAACUCGACUGCGUGAAGUCGGAAUCGCUAGUAAUCGCGGAUCAGCAUGUCGCGGUGAAUACGUUCCCGGGUCUU